CCCACACCCCCCCCCAGCCUCUCCCCCAGCCCCAAGCCAUGGCUUGCAGCCUGAAGGACGAGCUGCUCUGCUCCAUCUGCCUGAGCAUCUACCAGGACCCAGUGAGCUUCGGCUGCGAGCACUACUUCUGCCGCCGGUGCAUCACCGAGCACUGGGUACGUCAGGAACCCCAGGGCACCCGUGACUGCCCCGAGUGUCGCCGAACCUUCACCGAACCCACCCUGGCCCCCAGCCUUAAGCUGGCCAACAUCGUGGAGCGUUACAGCGCCUUCCCCUUGGAUGCCAUCCUGGGUGCCCAACGCAGCCCCUUCCCCUGCAAAGACCACGAGAAGGUCAAGCUCUUCUGCCUCACUGACCGCGCCGUUGUCUGCUUCUUCUGCGAUGAGCCCGCCGUGCACGAGCAGCACCAGGUCACCAACGUGGACGAUGCUUUCGAGGAGCUGCAGCGGGAGCUGAAGGAGCAGCUCCAGGGGCUGCAGGAGAGUGAGCGUGGUCACACUGAAGCCCUGCACCUCCUCAAACGGCAGCUGGCCGAGACCAAGUCCUCAGCUAAGAGCCUGCGGGUGACUAUCGGGGAGGCUUUCGAGCGGCUGCACCGGCUGCUGCGGGAGCGGCAGAAGGCGAUGCUGGAGGAGCUGGAGGCGGACACGGCGCGGACGCUGACUGACAUCGAGCAGAAGAUCCAACGCUACAGCCAGCAGCUCCGCAAGGUGCAGGAGGGCAGCCAGAUCCUCCAGGAGCGCUUGGCCGAAGCCGACAAACACGUCUUUUUAGCCGGUGUUGCGUCCCUUUCCGAGAGGCUGAAGGGGAAGAUCCACGAGACCAACCUGACCUACGAGGACUUUCCCACCUCCAAAUACAUGGGGCCACUGCAGUACACCAUCUGGAAAUCCCUUUUCCAGGAUAUCCAUCCCGUGCCGGCAGCCCUGACGUUGGACCCUGGCACGGCUCACCACCGCCUCAUCCUCUCCGAUGACUGCACCAUCGUGGCCUACGGCAACCUGCACCCCCAACCGCUGCAGGACUCCCCCAAACGCUUCGACGUGGAGGUCUCGGUCUUGGGUUCAGAGGCGUUCGGCGGCGGGGUCCACUACUGGGAGGUGGUGGUCUCCGAGAAGACCCAGUGGAUGAUUGGUUUGGCCCACGAAGCUGUCACUCGCAAGGGCAGCAUCCAAAUUCAACCCAGCCGAGGUUUUUAUUGCAUCGUCAUGCACGAUGGUAACCAGUACAGCGCCUGCACCGAGCCCUGGACCCGGCUCAAUGUCAAGAGCAAGCUGGAGAAGGUGGGGGUCUUCCUGGACUAUGACAAGGGGCUUCUCAUCUUCUACAAUGCUGACGACAUGUCCUGGCUCUACACCUUUCGGGAGAGGUUUCCUGGCAAGCUCUGCUCUUAUUUUAGCCCCGGGCAGAGUCACGCCAAUGGGAAGAACGUCCAACCCCUCCGGAUCAACACCGUUCGCAUCUAACAGGGAGGGGGGAUUUGACUCCCGGGGUUCGGCGUGUGCCCCAUCCCCCCCCCCCCCCCACCCCUGGGUGUUUUCCCGCUGUUUGGUGGAGGUUUCAGCUGAUCCUGCCCCAGGAACUGCCCCCGGCGCUGGGCAGGAUCUGGCCUUUUUGCCCCCCCGUCCCCCCUUCUCUCUGUCCUGUGCUUCCAGGAGGGUCCCGGUGCUGGGGGGGCGAGGGGGGGUCCGGGCUGCUGCAAUAAAAGGAUUUGGAGAGAAGGGGCCGGGUAGUGGAGAACCACUGGGCAGAGGGGGUGAUGCUGGCAUGUGCCAUAUGGCACCCUGGCAUGCUGUGCUGUGCCAUAUGUGCUGCACUGUGCCAUGGUGCGCUCUGGCGUGCCACACUAUACGUACUGUGCCAUGCCAUAUUUAUGGCACUGUGCCAUUGUGCACCAUGUGCUGCACCGUACGUACCGUACUGUGCCGUGGUGCACCAUGUUGUGGUGUGCUGUGCCAUGCUGGAUGUACUGGGCCGCGCCAUGCCGUUCCAUAUGUGCUGCACCGUGCCACGGUGCACCGUGGUGUACCAUGCUAUAGGUUACUGUCCCGUACAUACCGUGCCAUGCUAUACCAUGCACCGUACCUCAGUGCACUGUGCCAUGCCGUAUAUACUGCCCCGUGCUGUGGUGCACUGUGCCAUACUGGACCGUGCUGUGCCACGCUAUACGUAGUGCUCCAUGCCGUGGUGCGGCACCGUGCUGUGCCACGCUAUACGUAGUGCUCCAUGCCGUGGUGCGCCGUGCCAUGCCAUACUGUGCUGUGCCACGCCGGACGUGGUGCCCGUGCCGUGCCAUGGUAUACCGUGUGCCAUGCUGGCAGAGCCCUGGGGACACUGGGAGGGGUCCAUAUAGGGGAUGCUGCCUGUGUAUAGGAGUAGUUCCUGUAUAGGGGGUGCUGCCUAUGGGGCUGUGCUGUGGGGAGGGGCUGGGCUGUGGGAGGUGUAUGUAUAUAGGGGGGACACGACGUGGAGAGCAGGGCUGUGCUGUAGGGCCCUGCACGUGUGUCAGGCUGUGUUGGGGCUGGGCUGUAUAGGGGGUAUGAUAUAUAGGGGUUGUCAUGUAUAUAGGGGUGGGCUAUACAGGGGAUGUGAUAUAUAGGGGUGGGCUGUAUAGGGGGUGGGCUGUCCAGGGGCAGGGCUAUGUAGGAGGUGGGCUAUACGGGGGUAUGAUAUAUAGGGGGUGUGAUAUAGAUAUAUGGGACAGCGGCAUAGAUCUAUAGGGGCAGCGGGGGAAUGGGGGGCCCCGCCGCAGCUCCCCUCCCGCCCGCCAGGCGGCGCUGCUGCGACCCGCCGCCCUCUCUACGGUUCCGCUUGGGCGCGCGGCGGCGGUAGCCGGUGCAUGCGCGCUGCCCACACCCCCCCCCCCCAUCCCCAUCCGCGCAGGCGGCACUUUUGCGCAUGCGCCGCAGGCCGGGCAGCCGCGCGCCGAGAGGGCGGGGCCCCGCCGCCAUCUUGCCCCGGGCACUGCCCCGCCGCCAUGGAGCCCAGUGGGGGGGGGGCGGAAGGAGAGGCCGAAGCCCCGGGAGCCAGCGGCUCGCCUGGAGAAGGCCAAGCAGAAAUCAGCUCAGCAGGAGCUGAAGCAGAGGCAGCGGGCAGAGAUCUACGCCCUCAACCGAGUGAUGACAGAGCUGGAGCAGCAGCAGUUUGAUUCCUUCUGCAAGCAGAUGCAGGCCUCCGGCGAGUGAGGCAGCAUGUGCAGCCCCCCCAGACAACCCCAGACCCCCCCAUCUGCUGCCCAUUCCCUUUUCUAAACUCUUUGUUAUUUAUUAUCAAAUAACUGCUUUUUUUUUUUUUUUUUCUAAAUAAAAUCUGUGAUGGUUC